rnacentral:rRNA from 1 species
GCCGUCCUAGGGCUAGGUUUUCUGCUGGCUGGGAGCGGGAGCGCAUACGGCCAAAGCUGGAGUGAAACGGGGCGACACGACAUGGCGGAGGGAGGAGAAGGGAGAGUGGGGUUUAGGGUUUGGAGGCGCGGGGGGAAGGCCGCCAGGGGUUUUGGGAUCGGGCGGCGGCGGGGGCGGCUAGGGCGGCGGUACCUACUGUCGGAGAUGCUGCUCAAGCCGUUGAUGUAGCCGGGCCUCGAGCGGCUGAGGCUGCGGCUACUGAGCCUGCGGCGGCGGAGGGGCAGGGGGAGCGUCAGGGCGAGGGGGAGGGGCCGCGCGAGGGGCAGGCCGAGGGGGCCGAGGGCGGCGGGGCGGCGGGAGUACCUGCAGCUGCUGCUGCUGAUGCGGCUGCGGCGGGUCUUGCGGCAGCAGGAGCGGCUCCUGUUCUUCAUGAUGGGGUGGCGGCUCCUCCAGAUGCCGGGCCCGCAGCUCCGCGAGCAGUACCUGCUCCUGCUCGUCCGCGAGCUCUUCGGGUAGCAGCGCGGCGGGGCGCAGCAGUUCAAGCUCCAGCCGUGGGCGCGGCCGCGCUGGAGGUGGAUGCGGAGGUGGCUAAAGUAGGAGCCGGAGCGGAGGUUGGGCGACGACCAGGCGUUACACCGCGAGCACCCGGUGGACGUCGUGCCCUUCUGCCACAAGUACCUGUACGAGCACCUCGUCUGGGUGCUCCACCUGUGCAAGCUGAGGCUCCCGCUCGCGGUGUAGGCCAAGUGUCUGUGGGCCCACCUGCUCGUCCUCGCGUCCCAGAGGUAGUUCCGACACGGGUACAGUGAGCACGAACUCAGCCCCUUACCGUUCAGGAUAGAGACGUUAUAGUACCUGUGCGGACCCGUACAGUUAAAAAGGCUGCUCUACUGACGACGCGAGUCCGAUCGCCUACCCCGACACGAACAACAGCUACGACGACUCCCGCAGUACCAUUUGUGACUCUCCCGCUAAGCAGUACGUUAGGUUCUUUCUGAAGGGUAGCAACAACACUAAUUGUUCCAACUGUCUGACUAUUGUCUCGAUUUCGAUGGGGGUUUACUACGCAUAAAAUUCGAUGCUGUAUGUGACCUGUGUUAGUUACUAGAUUAGAGUAGAACAAGAUGGUGUCAUCCACCGUGAGUUGACCAUCUGGGACGACGACCUUUACAAACGAAACGCUCACCAAGACGACCGACCAGAAAAUGGAACGUUAGCAAACGCGUAGAAAUAAACUUCUAAGUACCCUAAGUCAAACUGGUACUCUUUAAACGUAGAGCAGAUACCCCUCUAAACAUAAUACUGGUAUUGAGAUCUUGGAAGUUUUUCUUCGGCGGUCGUCGUCCACGAUUAUCCAGUAAGUAACUCAAGUAGGAACUCGGAGACAUAUUUUAGAUAUCAGUCCAACAACCUCUCGUUGUCUUUUAAGAACUUUAUUGAGAGCGACUGAACCCACACUGUGACUCGUUACGUCGAAUAUUCGAAUUACAAUCCGGAAACGACUCUGAACGAACGGCGAGUUAAAAACCGUGACGAUGACCAAAAUGACUGUACAAUCACUUUUUGUAGGGGUUACACUUCCUACCACGACGUUCCUUUUAUCUUGUGUAUAUGUGACCAGUUGUUCUAAGGAGGUAACACCUACGUUACUUCUUUACACUAAGGGAACCAGGAGAAUACCAGUUACAAUGUUUUGACAUAGGAUUCGGACUGACAUCACAGAAACUACGGAAACCUGCUCAAAUAUCACCGUGUUAUGUCUGACCAGUCCGUCAAGCCCACGAACCUCUUCCGAUAAGGGGGCUACUACUUCUCCUAUACUGACAGUUUCUCCAGUGGUUCGACACCCAGAUAGUCCGUGCCAUGGCACAAGGUUAUUCAUUCCGGGGACGACCAAGAACCCAAGAAUAACUUCCGCACCUACGUAGUUAGUACUUUUGACGUUGGUAUACAGGAUACUUGUACCUACUUCUACACAUGUAUAAAUCUGGAGAUGCGAAGUUAUGGAAUGGACAACACUUCUAUCGUCGACUCGGAGAAUUGGGCUCACUCGAUGGAUUUUACCACCUUCCAGAUGCAUUUUAAUCGUUCUCGAUGGGAGAACGAUAAUGAUUCCAUCUUCUCAGUCCUCUUGUGUGAUAUGAACCCUGACCACUCGAUAUAGAUCUAAGAUAUUACUUCCUGGAGUCUCUCGAAAUGAGACUCCAUCUUCACUUCCAACGUCUAGGUCAACACUGUAAAACACUUUGUCAACAACUAUGAAGGAGAUACUUUACAAAACGACUUUGUGGGUUGUUCUCCUUGUUUUAAUGGUACAAUCGACUUGGUGAUCUCUUCCCGAACCGUCUUCUAUAUCUCUUACCGGAGCAAUCGGAACUGAGCUCCGUCUUUCUUCAGUGGCUGAAGAAAGCGGUUGCGAUGGUCACCCUACACGAACGUCGUUCCAGUUAUACCCGAAAACCUGGACUGUUCGUCCCAGGAUUGUAAGAUAACCUACUGAGAGAAAGCCAACUCCACCUAUUCUUAAACGACUUACGUCAGUUUCUAAGUUAACAAGUUCCCAAAGUCACCCCCCGAUCUCUUCCGGGGAACACACUACUUGGUUAAUCCUUACACUUCAAGUUCUAGAAUUUACGUUUAUAGCGAGGUCUUGGUAACGUGGCACCUCCACCGGUUUAUUAGGGGUGGCGAGCAGCCCAACAGAUGAGUCGUAAAGAUUACCGAUUAGGAGCUGAUUACCUCGGACAAAUAAUAUAACUCUAGGUUUGAGGUUAACUGACACACAGACGAUAUAUAUGCCAGGACAGUGCCGCUGCACCGGUACACUGUCGGCUACAUGGGUUCGGUCCGUGAGGUCAUAUACAACAGUUCCGUAAAAAUGGACAGUAUCUCAGAAAACCCAAACUCUGUCUAGAGUCUAUGGUAUGUGUCCCUGUUCGUAAAACACACAGUCACAAACUGGUGACCCGAUAACAAGGACCACUAGGAGAACUGUUCCCGUAACAAGAGGCCGGAAACCUUGGUCGUGGAUAGGUUGUGGAACGGGCACUCAAGUACCAUUUCUGGUCCGCUUCCUUCCCGUACUCGCUCCUACAAUCGUAGUUGUUCAAGAAACUGCUCCGGUACUACUUGCUCGACCGCGUUGUCUGACGUCUAUAGGUGGACUACUACAUCAAACUGCUACCUUCAGGUAACAAGACCACGCGACCCUUGUAUAGUUCAUGAAAGUACCCCGAUAGUACUGCGCUAGAAGUUCCUCUGCGUUAAACGGCGCAAAACUACUCUCGACUCUGAACACCAACUAAAAACUAUCCGCUACCGUAAAGGUCCCUGUUAUUACGGAAAUGAACAAACUAGGAAAGAAGUGUUUAAUGUUGGUAACAUCGUGGCUCGCGGAAAAGUUCAAAGACCUCCUAUCAAGACAAAGAACGGUACGGAUAAACUAGACACAAAAAUAGUCCUACCUAAUGACCUGCAUUACACGAAAGCACCAUUUGAGAACACUCCACCACAUAGAGAUAGCGAUACCAGUACGACACAUUAUGAAUUUAGAAAAUAGGUCCAAAGUUUCAAACAUAAGACAAAAAAGAAAACUCUUAAAACAUAAGACAAUGACGGGGGAGGCAAGGUAUAACACGUAUUCCCGGGUAAACCAAAUUACCUCCCCCUUACCCUCGAAUAAUUC